rnacentral:tRNA from 1 species
GCAUCCUUAGCUCAGAUGGAUAGAGCAGCAACCUUCUAAGUUGAUGGUGGUAGGUUCAAAUCCUACAGGGUGUA